AUCCACCCAGCACUCAUCCAUGUGUGGCAGGAGCGGGGGACCCAGGUAGUACGCCGGCCCGGACAACCGGACGGCUUGGGGUGAAGUCGCGUCACGGCGCGGCCGGGCAUCUCCAGCCCGAACCCGACAGCUCACCUCGUAGGCGCCGGAGAAGGAAUUC
rnacentral:sRNA from 2 species